rnacentral:rRNA from 1 species
UAUUGCGCAAUGGGCGAAACAGUGAACGCGAGCGACGGCGCGUGUAGGGAAGAAGGCUCUCGGGUCGUAAACCUCUGUCAGAAGGGAAGAACCCUUGAGGUCGAAUAGGCUUCUUGGCUGACGGUACCUUCAGAGGAAGCAACCGGCUAAUUCCGUGCCAGAAGCCGCGGUAAUACGGAAGGUGCAAGCGUUAAUCGGAAUCACUGGGCGUAAAGCGCGCGUAGGCGGUGCGGUCAGUCAGAUGUGAAAGCCCUCGGCUCAACCGGGGAAUUGCAUUUGAAACUGCCGUGCUUGAGUGACUGGAGAGGCAGGCGGAAUUCCAGGUGUAGGAGUGAAAUCCGUAGAUAUCUGGAGGAACACCAGUGGCGAAGGCGGCCUGCUGGACAGAUACUGACGCUGAGGUGCGAAAGCGUGGGUAGCAAACAGGAUUAGAUACCCUGGUAGUCCACGCUGUAAACGUUGGAUGCUAGGUGUCGGGGGGUCCACCCUCGGUGCCGCAGUUAACGCGUUAAGCAUCCCGCCUGGGGAGUACGGUCGCAAGGCUG